UACAGAGGUGGCAAGCGUUGUUCGGAAUUACUGGGCGUAAAGGGCGCGUAGGCGGUUUCGUAAGUCCCGUGUGAAAGCCCCCGGCUCAACCGGGGAACUGCACGGGAAACUGCGAGGCUUGAGUUCGGGAGAGGGAAGCGGAAUUCCGGGUGUAGCGGUGAAAUGCGUAGAUAUCCGGAGGAACACCAGUGGCGAAGGCGGCUUCCUGGACCGAUACUGACGCUGAGGCGCGAAAGCUAGGGGAGCAAACGGG
rnacentral:rRNA from 1 species